rnacentral:rRNA from 1 species
GGAGCAAACGAAGUGAAGCAUGUUAUUUAAUACGAAAGUACGCGUAAAAUCUUACCAGUUCUUGCAUAGCCAAUCCCUCUUAUUUUUUUUUUAAGAAGAAAACUACUCCCUCCUUUAUUUCUUAUUUUUAUUAAGAAUAAAAAGGUAGGAGAAGAUUUUUCUUUUAAACUUAAGACUGGAUUGAGUGAUAAUUAUUUAUUAAUAAGUUUGAUUCUCUUUUCUUAUUUCUUCUCUAUCUAUAGCUAUAUAUUUGCUUUCGUAUUUCUAUUUUAGUAUGGGAGUCUUUCGGAAGCAAAAGUAGUCCCCUCCUUUCCUAAAGGAAAGGAGGAUAGAAAUGAAGGAGACAAAAAUAGUGUAAGAAUAUUUAAUUUAUUUAUAUUAAUUUAUCCGUUUACAGGUGUUGCAUG